rnacentral:rRNA from 1 species
AAUGGGCGCAGCCUGAUGCAGCCAUGCCGCGUGUAUGAAGAAGGCCUUCGGGUUGUAAAGUACUUUCAGCGAGGAGGAAGGCAUUAAGGUUAAUAACCUUGGUGAUUGACGUUACUCGCAGAAGAAGCACCGGCUAACUCCGUGCCAGCAGCCGCGGUAAUACGA